UACGGAGGAUGCGAGCGUUAUCCGGAUUUAUUGGGUUUAAAGGGUGCGUAGGCGGGCUUUUAAGUCAGCGGUAAAAAUUCGGGGCUCAACCCCGUCCGGCCGCUGAAACUGGGGGUCUUGAGUGGGCGAGAAGAAGGCGGAAUGCGUGGUGUAGCGGUGAAAUGCAUAGAUAUCACGCAGAACCCCGAUUGCGAAGGCAGCCUUCCGGCGCCCUACUGACGCUGAGGCACGAAAGUGCGGGGAUCGAACAGG
rnacentral:rRNA from 1 species